CAGCACCUCAAGUGGUCAGGAGGAUUAUUGGGCCUAAAGCAUCCGUAGCCUGUUCUAUAAGUUUGCGGUUAAAUCUAUACGCUCAACGUAUAGGCUGCCGUAAAUACUGUAGAACUAGGGAGUGGGAGAGGUAGACGGUACUCGAUAGGAAGGGGUAAAAUCCUUUGAUCUAUUGAUGACCACCUGUGGCGAAGGCGGUC
rnacentral:rRNA from 1 species